rnacentral:rRNA from 1 species
CGCGUAGGCGGCUUUAUAAGUCAGAUGUGAAAUCCCACGUCUCAACUGUGGAAGUGCAUUUGAAACUGUGAGGCUUGAGUAUCGGAGGGGAGUGUGGAAUUCCCGGUGUAGAGGUGAAAUUCGUAGAGAUCGGGAGGAACACCGGUGGCGAAGGCGACACUCUGGACGAAUACUGACGCUGAGGCGCGAAAGCGUGGGGAGCAAACA